rnacentral:pre_miRNA from 1 species
GGUUUUCUGAAUCCGUGAAAAGAUUUCAUCAGACACCAAUCCAUUAGGGCUGAUUAGACUUCCAAGACAAGUGAAGUU